rnacentral:rRNA from 1 species
AGCCGAGCGGUAGAAGUCCUUCGGGACUUUGAGAGCGGCGUACGGGUGCGUAACACGUGUGCAACCUACCUUUAUCAGGGGAAUAGCCUUUCGAAAGGAAGAUUAAUACCCCAUAAUAUAUUGAAUGGCAUCAUUUAAUAUUGAAAACUCCGGUGGAUAGAGAUGGGCACGCGCAAGAUUAGAUAGUUGGUGAGGUAACGGCUCACCAAGUCAAUGAUCUUUAGGGGUCCUGAGAGGGAGAUCCCCCACACUGGUACUGAGACACGGACCAGACUCCUACGGGAGGCAGCAGUGAGGAAUAUUGGACAAUGGGUGAGAGCCUGAUCCAGCCAUCCCGCGUGAAGGAUGACGGUCCUAUGGAUUGUAAACUUCUUUUGUAUAGGGAUAAACCUACUCUCGUGAGAGUAGCUGAAGGUACUAUACGAAUAAGCACCGGCUAACUCCGUGCCAGCAGCCGCGGUAAUACGGAGGGUGCAAGCGUUAUCCGGAUUUAUUGGGUUUAAAGGGUCCGUAGGCGGGCCGAUAAGUCAGUGGUGAAAUCUCAUAGCUUAACUAUGAAACUGCCGUUGAUACUGUCGGUCUUGAGUAAAUUUGAAGUGGCUGGAAUAAGUAGUGUAGCGGUGAAAUGCAUAGAUAUUACUUAGAACACCAAUUGCGAAGGCAGGUCACUAAGAUUUAACUGACGCUGAGGGACGAAAGCGUGGGGAGCGAACAGGAUUAGAUACCCUGGUAGUCCACGCCGUAAACGAUGCUAACUCGUUUUUGGGGCGCAAGCUUCAGAGACCAAGCGAAAGUGAUAAGUUAGCCACCUGGGGAGUACGUCCGCAAGGAUGAAACUCAAAGGAAUUGACGGGGGCCCGCACAAGCGGUGGAUUAUGUGGUUUAAUUCGAUGAUACGCGAGGAACCUUACCAAGACUUAAAUGGGAAAUGACAGGCUUAGAAAUAGGCUUUUCUUCGGACAUUUUCCAAGGUGCUGCAUGGUUGUCGUCAGCUCGUGCCGUGAGGUGUUAGGUUAAGUCCUGCAACGAGCGCAACCCCUGUCACUAGUUGCUAACAUUUAGUUGAGGACUCUAGUGAGACUGCCUACGCAAGUAGAGAGGAAGGUGGGGAUGACGUCAAAUCAUCACGGCCCUUACGUCUUGGGCCACACACGUAAUACAAUGGCCGGUACAGAGGGCAGCUACCUAGCGAUAGGAUGCAAAUCUCGAAAGCCGGUCUCAGUUCGGAUUGGAGUCUGCAACUCGACUCUAUGAAGCUGGAAUCGCUAGUAAUCGCGCAUCAGCCAUGGCGCGGUGAAUACGUUCCCGGGCCUUGUACACACCGCCCGUCAAGCCAUGGAAGUUUGGGGUACCUGAAGUCGGUGACCGUAAAAGG